rnacentral:tRNA from 1 species
GGUGCCAUAGCCAAGUGGUAAGGCAGAGGUCUGCAAAACCUUUACCGCCGGUUCGAAUCCGGCUGGCACCUCCA